UGUGGAUUUUCUAACAUUUAUCAGUUUGUUUUUUUUAAAAAAAACAAAAAUGAAGUUCAUUUUUAUAAAAGAAAAUCUCAAAAUACCCAUUUUAUAACCCCAAAAUUACGAGUGACCAAAGACUCAUCCCAAAGCCAAGAACACACAUCGCACUUUAUGAAUGUCGCCACUGCCAUUGCCAUCAUCACCGGCCUCGCAACCAUGAAUGACACAUUGAAGCUACCAUUGAACGGAUUGAGAACUGCAAAUCCGGGAUCGAGUCAAAAGUAGACAGGUGAUGCAUCUAAAAAGGAAGGAAAACGCUAGUCCAAGUCUUGUUAAUAAGGAAGUGCAGAAGGAGAACAAAAUCGCAAGAUAGAUCUGAUGAUAACGAAUCUGAGCGGUCUGAUAGUGAAGAAAAUGACAAGUCUUAAGAUGACUCUAGACAUUGUAGUUAAUAUUGCACAUUCAUUUUUUUAGGGAUCGGCAAGUUUUUGUUCUGUUUUGCUAGAAUUCAGGCAUUGUAGUGGUAUGGGUGUUACUUUGGUAAUACUGGUGGAGUCGGCUAGGGGUUCAUCUCUAUUGUUUGGUUGGCUGUUAUUGUUUGGUGAGUAGCCAACUGGUGUCUACUGUUGGUUUCUUAUUUUCUGCCAAACCUGCUCAUUUUGGUGCUCCAUGUUGUGUGAAGACUAGGGUCUGCUGUGUUGUGAUUGCUGGUUUAAGUUGCAGUUGUUGAGUUUACAGAAGAAACUUCAUGGGUGUUGUUUCAAUCUGGUAGGAAGCAAUGUAUGUUGAUGGCUUGAAGAGCAUUUUCUGUUGUUACGUAUCUGUUUCAGUUCUGGUCAUCGUUGAUAUGUGGUGACUGCUUUGCUCAGUUUCUGUGUUAGUAGGAUUAUAUGUUUUUGUUUCUUUUGGAGUUUGUAGAUGUUUUAGUUUGUAACUAUGACAUUAUAUCAAUUUAAAUGGUUGUUUCUCGUA